UCUCUCUCUGACGCACUCUCUCUUUUCCUCUCAGAUUUUUUUUACUCUCUUUUUCUUUCUUUCUUCUCUCUUCCGCCUCUUUUCCUCUAGGUUCUUUAACUUCUUUUUACUUCUUUCUUUCUUCACUCUUCUGCCUCUUUUCCUCAGUUUUUUCUUCUUCUUUCUCUCUUAUUCUUUCUCCUCUCAAUUCGUCUCCAUUUUUUUUCCCUCUCUUUCUCUGAUUUUCUGUUACUCUGAUUUUUUUCUUCUUGGUUUUAUGUUUCUCUCUCUCCCUCUAUAUCUCUUUCUUUGCAACUCUGUUUUUCAAUUUCUCCUUUUUUUUCUCUCUUCAUUUUUUGUUUCUCUGUACAUAUAUGUGUUCAUCUUGUAGAUCUGGGUGAAAUUCUUGUAGAUCUAGGUGAAGUUCUUGGAGAUCUGCGUUAAGUUCUUGUAGAUCUAGGUAAAGAGCCAAUUCAAAGCAGGUCAGCGUCUCUUAUCUCCCCAAUCCCUUGUGAAGAUAUGUAUUUUUUUUGUUGUCAACAAUCCAUUUUGGUGUUUUUAUAUGGUAUUGAUAUUUUCUAUGAUUUUGGGCUGAUUUGAGGUCUGAUUCUUUUUUUUUCUUUCAAUUUUUUCCUGUUGUGUUUUGAUAGACAUGUUCUCUAUUCCUGAUAUCAUUCCUCAGUGGCAAAAUCUUUGAGCGUUGUUGUAAAUUUUAGACGGGAAAGAAGCUCAUUCAUAAUUCAAAAAAAGAAAAUAAAGUUACAACAACUGACAAUUUGUUGCUCUUUGAAAUAGGUACUGAAGUAGCAUGGAUAAAAAGAAAGACUGAAGAUGUUGCAGAAGAUUGAAUAUGUUCUAUUUCUGUAAUUUGUUUGUAAUUAAAUUUGUUUAUUUUGUUUUGUUUUUAGGUUGUAAGUUUUAUUUUAAUGUUUGAUAUUUGUUGUUUUGUCAAAAAAUUGUAUUAAUGCUUGAUGGAUUCAUUCAAUUUGCAGUGCGUGGAUGUGAAUUGGGCCAAUCGGUAAUAAUUAGGCCCAAAAGGUUUUAAAUAUCAAUUGGGCUGAAACUUACAAAAAAAUUUAAGAACAAAAAAAAAAUCAAUUAAGCUGUGUGUCGGCCCAAACCGUAAAAACCGGAACCGAACCGGAUUCAAAUGGGUUCGGGUUGGUCCGGUUUUCUCAAGCAUUUUAGUAAAAAUCCGAACCGGACCGGACCGGUGAACAGUACCGGUUCCGGUUUUAAAUUGAUGCAAAAACCGGUCCAAACCGGACCGUGCCCACCCCUAUUUUUUAUUUUUAUUUUUAAAUAUCAGUAAUAACUGGGAAAGCUUGCAUCUCCUUAAAUUGCUCAUUCUUACAUCUUUUAUAGUUUGUUGAUCUUGGGCAAGUGGAGAGAGAGGCGUCAAGUGAUACGCAACAACCAUUUUCUGUGAGCUGAUUUGAUAAAGAGAAAUGGUAUGCUUUCUUGUCUUAAGCGGUGUGUUCUGCAAUUAUUUGAAACAAAGGAUGCCGCACUUCAAGUUCGAGAAAAUCAGGUAUUUUAGUAUUUUAUUCUUGAGAAAUUUGAUUUAUGUAGAAACUUGAACAUGUAAAUGAGAGAAAAAAAAAUAAAUAUAUAUAUAUAUUAUAUAUUGUAUAUGCUGUUAAUGAGUUAAUAUGGUGCUUGCUCCUAGUUGGAAAUUUAUGUAGUCAUCUACCUAUGAUCAAAUAAAGAUGAAAAAUAAAAUAAAAUUGAGAGCAUCUUCCUCUCCCCUGCUUUGCUCAUCCCUUGUUCUUCCACUUCAGCCCCACUAUUACACCAUUUUUUUCAGCCACAAUUAUAAUAGCUCCAUGAGCAUUAAGUCCCUUUCAAAUUCUGCUGACAUUCAAAAUUGGAAUCUGCUGGUGAUAUAUGAUAGCGUUAACAUAUUGUACCAUUUUGGCCAGUGUACGCAAUAUUAUUGCAUCCAACUUUGCAUAUUAACAUCAGUGGCCACAGUUACACGAUUUGAGUGCACAGAAAGGUUUCAAAAGUUGUCCCACAGAGAACAGUCGUUCAAAGUGAGAGAGUUUUGAAAGCUUAAUUACAAGUUCAUGUUGUUUACAACCUCAAAAAGCUUUCAUACUUGCUUACAAACCUGUAUUUCCAAGUUCUGCAAACCUUGGAAUAUCACUUCAUCCAAAUCCCCUUCCAAAGCAGGAAAAAAUGGCAGCAGCUUUGAUUGGAGAGGCUCUCAUCUCUGCUUCUAUCGAGGUGUUGUGUGACAGAGUUACUUCAGCCGAGUUCAUAGACUUAUUUCAGCAGAAGAAACUUGAUGAAACACUCCUCAUGAACCUGAAGACGACACUGUUGAUUUUGUUUGCGGCGCUCAAUGAUGCAGAGGAGAAGCAAAUUGUGAACCCUGCUGUGAUAGAGUGGCUUAACAGCUCAAGCAUGCUGUCUUUGAUGCAGAGGACUUACUUGAUGAGAUUGACACUGAAGCUUUGCGAUGCAAGCUGGAAGGUGAGGAUCAAACCCACAAUAAUUAACCAACAAGGAUCUUUUUGAUUGUUUGAAAGGAGGGUCUUUGAUGAUUUGAAAGGAGAGGGUUGCUUCAUUUCUGUUGGAUGCUUAAUUAAAUCUUAUCUGGACUUGAACAAGGAUUAGGUUAGCUGUAUAAUUCGUGGUAAACACCUUUUUCUAAGGUUCAUUUAGACUCCUAUUACGAUUAAUUUGUUGUUUCUAAUUUGGACUUGUAGGAACAGACCAAAUAUGUUCACACGUGGCAUCGUUCAAGUCAUCAUCAUUUCAGACAAAAUCAGCCUUCAAGUGUCUGCUGACUCAAUGAACCUUUCUAGAUAUAUCAAGUGCAAUGGAAAUUCAAGAGUUACAUAGAGAUUUGUAAACAUUUUGAAGAUUGCAACACCUGCAAGUGAGAUAGGUGGUGACGAAAUCAGAGCUGAUCUUGAAGCCUCUGAUGCCCCUGUCGUUGCAAGUUGCACCUGAGAACAUGGUUUUUUUUUGGGUAAAAAACCAGCAACAUGUUCGGGGCUGGCAAUUCAAUCCCUGAUGAACUUGAGAAGCAAAGCUCCAGUAAGGAAAUUGGUCGAGGUCACGACAGGGAUAAUUGAUGGUGAAAUGGAUGCUAUUUCUUAUUGCAGCCUGUUCUCAAAGUUCUUGUUGGCAAAAGCAAGAGAUGGAGUAUUUUGAUUGGGAGGAGAGAUAAUGACAUGUGUUGACAAUUCUAGAACAGCCCAUCUGAGUUCUUUUGUCAGGCUGCAUCAUUUAAUCCCAGCAAAAAUCCAGUUUUUGCUAAACAAUCAAAUUGUACACAUUUUUUCUUUUCGAGGAAUUUAACAUUACACAUUUUUUCAUUUUUUCAUCAAACAGUUUUCUAAUGCAUUUGUUGUCCCAAGUUACAAUGAGGAAUUUGGAUUGAGUUUCUUGUGUUAAUAACAUUAUACUUUCAUGGAAUGGUUUAUCUUCUUUUUCUGGACAAAAAUAUUUAGAUUAAUUUCUUGGAAUAAUUUUUUAAUAAUUUUUUAAUUGCAGUAGCGAAAAAAGGAAAAUUGUAUUUUUCAAAACCAAUCUUAAGUCCAGUUUCCUCUUCUUGGUCGUCACACUUGGAAAUUGCUAACCAUAUAUAACUUGGGGUAACAAUCUUAGUCCGAAUGUGUACGAUCUUAGUCCGAUCAAUGGCUACGCGUAUUGGCUCGGCCUUGGGGUCUACCAUUCCAGUGUACAAGCUUCCUGGGUCUUGGGGCAAUUCCUUCAAAUUGUACACAUGUUUUCUUUGAGAAGCAAGGCUCUAGUAAGGAAAUUGGUUAUGUAACAAAUUUUGGUCCCUUUGGAUGGAAUGAUUUACAAUGAGGAAUUUUAUUAUUAUUAUUUUGUUUUUGUUGUUAGUGUAAUGAAAAUGAUCUAGGUUCAUACACUGGGUAUAGCUCUAAUUUGGCCAAUUUCAUUAUUUUAGUUUCUUCAUAUUUUCAAUUAUUAUAAUUUGGUGCGUUGUUUUUUAAAAACAUUCAUGAGAAUCUCCAUUUUUUAGGUGUUUAAGUUAUUCAUCCACAACGGUUUUAUAAUACCGUCAUCUUUUCAAACACAACGAUGAUUUUUUAAUCUAUCGUCGUUGUUUUCUGAUCGUCUUUUUCACUUUUUGUAGUAGUGUCAAUAAGUAAGAUGAAAUAAUACAUUCACAAUCUGUUUAAAUUUUAAAUUAAAAAAAACACAAGAAAAUUUUAAAUAAGUAAGUAAUUUUAAAUAUAUAUUUCCAUUGUUUUGGUUUUCUUUUCAUAUUAGUUUUCUACUAGCUGCUAAUUUCAUUUAAAUUGUUUUUCUUACUUCAUUUAACUUUUAAGCAUGCAGAUGCAAUCAUGACUUCUUCUUUUUUUCAAUAGACUGAUUCUCUUCCCACAUAUAUAAUGCUCUCUAAGUAUUCGUAAUAUGAGUAGGAAUUUAUUUUCAUUUCACAAGAAUUGUCCAUCAAAUUCUGAUAGGUUUGUCGAUAGCACAAGCAUGCACAUAUAGACACUACAAGAACUUUGUUUCUUCAUUUUGUUUCCUAAAGAUUUGUUGGCUUCGUGCAGAUGAAUAACAAGUCUCUCUGUCCUCUAUUUCUUCUUUUUCUUUUUUAACAAUUCAUAUUCUACUUUCUGUUUUCACCCAGUAAAAAUUGAUUUUAGACAUGGGCUUCUAAAUUAUGUGCGGAUAAUGGUUGCAUUUAUAGAAUAUCCAUGGGCUUCUAGUCACCGUGGUUGUUGAUUCAGCAUGUCAUAUUACUCUUGGACUAGCUGUUGACACUACUACAUUUUACACUUUGCGCGACGAAGAACAAAACGUCGCGCAAAGUCGCAUUUAGUCGCCCCAAUUUCAGCGCGACAAAAACGUCGUCGCGCAUAUUCCGUCGCGCGAAGAUCGUGAAGAAAGCCUUUGCACGACGAGGUACAACCCUUCGUCGCGCAAAAGUGUGCGACGGGUAAACCAUCGUUGCACCAACGGUGUGGAGACGAAACAACCCUUCGUCGCAAAAAUAUUUGCGCGACGAUAAAUUAUGCGGCGCACGUAUAUUUGCGAGACGACGGGAAUUGCGCGACAAAACAUUAUUCGUCGCGCAAAAUAUGUAUGGGAGACGUAUAUGUUCGUCGCAGAACAAUUCGCGCGAUGAGAAAGUUUUCGUCGCACAUAUAAUUGCGCGACGAAAAAUUAUGUCGUCGGCCAAAUAUUUUGCGCGACGAAACAUUUCGUCGCGCAAAACGUGUUAUGUGUUCGUCGCGCAUGAAUUAAAAGUGAUAAAAAAAUAUUUGAUUUUUUUUUGUUACAUGUUGGUUUGCGCGACGAAAGAUUUUCCGUCGCGCAAAAAUAAUAUUACAAUUUUUUUUUUAUUUAUAUUUUUUAUUUGAUAUAAAAUUGGUUUCUUUUUAUUGAUUAAACAAUGAAAUUGCAAUAAAAAUAAAUUAGAAUAAAAUUUUGUUAUAAAAUAAAAUAAAAUAAAUGUAUUACAAAUAAAAUAAAUACACUAAUCAAAUAAUGAAUCAAAAUCAACCGAGUCGUCGCCAGUAUGCGGCUCGGAGGGCGGGGCGUUCACCGGGGCAGUGGUCUGGUGGGGAUGCCCGGGAUGGACGGGCUCAGAGGUCGGCGCAUCAAAAUGCGGGACUGGAAUGCCGGACUGUGCGAGGGACUGCAGAAUGACCGACAUCUGGCUCUGAAGAGUGGCCACCUGUGCUGUCAAAGCAGUGACCUGACUGUUUGACUGCGCCGAUGAACGAGGUCGAGGUUCCCUCCGCCGGGCAUUCCCCAUCCCUCGACAAUAUGUCCCCGGCCUCCUCCCGAGAGUCUGAUCCAACGUCUCCGUCAAUAUCUGAAAUCCAGCAUCCUGUGGAGGAGCCACAGACUCGAUCGGAGUCUCGGGAGGAAGCUGGGAGGCGGACUCCUGAAGAACAAGCUGGCUCCUCUCCACCAUCGUCGUCUGUUGAACAUAACAUAAAAUAUAAAUUAAAACAUGCAUAUAAAUUGAAUGCGUAACAUAAGAAUUAAAAUUAAAUAAUACUUACAUGAAGGGACUCGGCCAACUCAUUCCCGGGUCGAACAUAAACGUCACCAAAGACGUCGAUCUCUGGGAACUUGGACCCCUCCUAAAUUGAACAAGAGAAGAAAAAUAUUAGUAUGAAAAAAAUAAAUUAAUAAAAAUGACAUUAAAAAUGAAAUAAAAAUUUUGUGAUUAUUACCCGACGCCGUGCAUCCAUCCUAUAAGAAAAGGGUCUGGAGCCGGAAUGGUGGAGAAGGGUCUUCUUCUUCCUAUUACCCUUAUUCACUUGGGCUUUAUUCUGUUAUACAAAAAAUGAAACGUAUUAGUUAAAAUAUAAAAAAUUAAAUAAUAAUGAAAUAAAAAAAUAAAAUAAACAUUAAUAAGUAAUAAGUAAUAAUUAAACAAAUAUAAUUAAAAAAAUACCGCAAAUUCGGGCGCUUGAAAAUGAGCGCAGAGCCACUCCCAACUAUCCUCCCGCCCCUCAAGCUCCUUCGGGCAACCCUCCUGAAGAGCGACUUGCGGAUCAUCAUAGGCCUGAAAAUGGUGGUGCAAGUCGCUCUUCCACUGCUUGUACCUCUCAGCGAAGAGUCGGUUGACGUACGUCAACGACUCUUCGUCGAGAUCCUCCAAGUUAUAGUUCGUCUGCAAUCAAUUAAUUAGAUACGUUAAGUAAUAGAAAUAUACACAAUUUUAAAGAAAAAUAAUGAAAAUGUAAGGUACAUACCGACAACUGGCCGUGAAUCUCCGCCUGGAUCUCGUCAGGCAUGACCCUCCAAGACUUCCAUUGCAUCGGGCAAUGGGUCCGCACGACGUGGCCAAUGUCGUGGGCCAAGGAGCUAUGCAACUUCGCCGUCGGUGCAGCACGAUGGCGCUCGUCGUAUCCGAUGCUGAUACGACUGUUGGUCACCCGGGUGACCUUCGCCGUCUUCAGCUGACGACACGGUCCUCGGGUGUUCCUCUUCGCUGCAAAGAAAUAAGGUAUUAAUGUU
rnacentral:lncRNA from 1 species